rnacentral:rRNA from 1 species
UAAUACGAGGGGCCCGAGCGUUGCGCGGAAUCACUGGGCUUAAAGCGUACGUAGGCGGGCGUGCAGGCGUCUUGUGAAAUCCCUCGGCUCAACCGAGGAACUGCUCGACGAACCGCACGUCUUGAGGCAAGUAGGGGCUGUCGGAACGAUAGGUGGAGUGGUGAAAUGCGUUGAUAUCUAUCGGAACGCCGAAGGAGAAAUCAGGCAGCUGGGCUUGUUCUGACGCUGAGGUACGAAAGCGUGGGGAGCGAACGGGAUUAGAUACCCCGGUAGUCCACGCCGUAAACGAUGUGCACUAGAUCGAGGGGGUUCUGACACUGCUCUCGGUCGAAGCGAAAGUGUUAAGUGCACCGCCUGGGGAGUACGGUCGCAAGGCUA